rnacentral:rRNA from 1 species
GACGAACGCUGGCGGCGUGCCUAAUACAUGCAAGUCGAACGCAGUGGGGACGGGUGAGUAACACGUGGGUCACCUCCCAUCAGAGGGGAUAACACUUGGAAACAGGUGCUAAACCGCUACUGGUGGAUCGUCCCGCGGUGCAUUAGCUAGUUGGUGAGGUAACGGCGCACCAAGGCCACGAUGCAUAGCCGACGUAGUAGGGGGAUCGGCGGCACUGGGACGGUGACACGGCCCAGACUCCUACGGGAUGCAGGAGUAGGGAAUGUUCGGCAAUGGACGAAAGUCUGACCGGGCAACGCCGCGGAAGUGAAGAGGGUUUUCGGAUCGUAAAACUCUGUUGUUAGUGAAGCGGUAUCUAACCAGAAAGCCACGGCUAACUCCGUGCCAGCAGCCGCGGUAAUAC